GACGAACGCUGGCGGCGUGCUUAACACAUGCAAGUCGAACGGUGAAGCUCCAGCUUGCUGGAGUGGAUCAGUGGCGAACGGGUGAGUAACACGUGAGCAACCUGCCCCUGACUCUGGAAUAAGCGCUGGAAACGGCGUCUAAUACUGGAUACGAGAAGGGUCCGCAUGGGCACUUUCUGGAAAGUUUUUCGGUUGGGGAUGGGCUCGCGGCCUAUCAGCUUGUUGGUGAGGUAAUGGCUCACCAAGGCGACGACGGGUAGCCGGCCUGAGAGGGCGACCGGCCACACUGGGACUGAGACACGGCCCAGACUCCUACGGGAGGCAGCAGUGGGGAAUAUUGCACAAUGGGCGAAAGCCUGAUGCAGCGACGCCGCGUGAGGGAUGACGGCCUUCGGGUUGUAAACCUCUUUCAGCAGGGAAGAAGCGAAAGUGACGGUACCUGCAGAAGAAGCACCGGCUACUACGUG
rnacentral:rRNA from 1 species